rnacentral:rRNA from 1 species
CCUACGGGAGGCAGCAGUGAGGAAUAUUGGACAAUGGAUGGAAAUCUGAUCAGCCAUGCCGCGUGCAGGAAGACGGCCCUAUGGGUUGUAAACUGCUUUUAUACGGGAGCAAUAAGGUCUACGUGUAGACUGAUGAGAGUACCGUAUGAAUAAGCAUCGGCUAACUCCGUGCCAGCAGCCGCGGUAAU